UACGUAGGGUGCAAGCGUUAAUCGGAAUACUGGGCGUAAAGCGUGCGCAGGCGGUUUUUUAAGCCAGAUGUGAAAUCCCCGGGCUUAACCUGGGAACUGCAUUUGGGACUGGAAGGCUAGAGUAUGGCAGAGGGGGGUGGAAUUCCACGUGUAGCAGUGAAAUGCGUAGAGAUGUGGAGGAACACCGAUGGCGAAGGCAGCCCCCUGGGCCUAUACUGACGCUCAUGCACGAAAGCGUGGGGAGC
rnacentral:rRNA from 1 species